CAAGAGGUUCGUGUUGCCCGUUGAUUUCUCCGGUCUAAAUCUCACAAGGGUUAGAAGGCCCCGUGCCUGAAACCUUCCAGUCAGCGCACCUUCCUUCUUGGUUCUCUUCGGCUGUUGAGUGUUGAAUCUGGUGCGGAGGUCAUCACGUGAGUAACUGACACAAUCUCUCUCUCUCUCUCUGAUUUGGUGGGUUGGUAGCUUGGUAGCGCUACCCCAUUCUCAUGUUCUAGAGUAACACAGUAUCUUGAAGAGACGAUCUCUAUAAAUUAAAGCUUCAAAAAUGACCAAUGCAGCGUGCUGAUCAUUCAGACUGCAAGCAAGAGAGAAAGGGAAGGGAAAACAAGUAGAUCAGUGAUAUUUACUAGAAUGGUGACUUCAGUGGCUCCUAGAGUUGAGAGCUUGUCCAGCAGUGGGAUCCAGUCAAUCCCCAAAGAGUACAUCCGCCCCCAAGAAGAGCUCACCAGCAUUGGCAAUGUCUUUGAGGAGGAGAAGAAGGAUGAAGGGCCUCAGGUUCCAACUAUUGACUUGAAGGAUAUUGAGUCUGAGGACGAGGUGGUCCGGGAGAGAUGCCGGGAGGAGUUGAAGAAAGCUGCCAUGGAGUGGGGUGUGAUGCACCUUGUUAACCAUGGCAUCUCUGAUGACCUUAUCAACCGUGUUAAGGUUGCUGGAGAGACCUUUUUCAAUCUCCCCAUGGAGGAAAAGGAGAAGUAUGCUAAUGACCAGGCCUCCGGCAAGAUCGCUGGCUAUGGCAGCAAGCUUGCCAACAAUGCUAGUGGACAGCUUGAGUGGGAGGACUACUUCUUCCACCUCAUCUUCCCUGAAGACAAGCGCGAUAUGACCAUCUGGCCUAAGACACCAAGCGACUACGUGUAAGUUCAAUUCAUUGUUUAUGUAAUUAUACGAUGUUUGCUGAUCUGUUUUUCCUCUGGCCAAGUAGUUACUAACUGAAUUUUCUAUUAUAAAAAAAAAUCUGCAAAUUUUACUAAUUUUGAAAUUGUUUCUGGGUUCUAAGAAUUACUUGUUCAAACUUGUGAUUGCAGUCCAGCAACCUGUGAGUACUCGGUGAAACUUAGGAGCCUGGCAACCAAGAUACUAUCGGUGCUAUCGCUUGGGUUGGGAUUGGAAGAAGGGAGACUAGAAAAGGAAGUUGGUGGGAUGGAAGAGCUACUACUCCAAAAGAAGAUCAACUACUACCCCAAGUGUCCCCAGCCUGAAUUGGCUCUCGGGGUGGAAGCUCACACUGACGUGAGCGCUCUCACCUUCAUCCUCCACAACAUGGUACCCGGCCUGCAACUUUUCUAUGAGGGCAAGUGGGUGACAGCCAAGUGUGUCCCCAACUCCAUCAUCAUGCACAUUGGAGACACCAUAGAGAUUCUCAGCAAUGGUAAGUACAAGAGUAUUCUUCACAGGGGACUGGUCAACAAGGAGAAGGUGAGGAUUUCAUGGGCAGUUUUCUGCGAGCCGCCUAAGGAGAAGAUCAUCCUGAAGCCACUGCCAGAGACGGUGUCUGAGACUGAGCCACCACUCUUCCCACCUCGCACCUUUUCCCAACAUAUUCAGCACAAGCUCUUCAGGAAGACCCAGGAGGCUCUACUCUCCAAAUGAGCUGUAGCCUUGUUGUAUUUCAUCUGCUAUACUAAGCUCUCUAUUUGGCUGUUUUGUUACAGUUUGGUCUGUGUUUCAAGCUUCCCAAUCUUUGAUCAUGGCAGGUAUAGGCCAUCAUAUAUGUUUGUUUCUCUGCCUGCUUUUAUUUAAUAAAAUUCGAGAUUUCUAUUCUUCUUUUGUGCACAACCAAGUUUUGGAUUUGAAUUACCAAUGUCAUUAUGCAUUAAUUCUCAAGCUACUUGUAUUGAAAAAUAAAGCCAAUAUGGUAAUGGUAUGAGUGGUGGGAAGAAAGCUGAAAUCUAUGCACUUAUGUUAGCCUUAAAUUCUUGAUAAAGAUUUGAGACUUUUUCGAGGGGCAGUUGGAAAAUUUUCAACCCUACACGCAGCUCCAUUUUUUGUUUCAUCCAGAUUGGGACUGUGCAGUAACUUGUGGGAAAAAUUGUCAUAGUUAAUCCCAUCCUGUAAUAUUCAUCCAAUAAUCAAAAUGAAGGGGUACGAAUUACUUUAAUCCAAAGCCUUGGACCACACACCUUUACACAAAAUCCUGACCCUCCACAUGUACUUAAAAAACUCCUGAGUCUGAUGAACCAGAAGGACCCAAUUGACCGGCCAGAACCAAACACAAACAUUAGGCAGAUGGGUGAUUCGUGAAGCCAUCUGGUGUUAAAUAGGUGGCCCUAAUUUUUAAACAACUAUGACUUAAUCUUUGUCAGUUUGUGACAUCUAGAAAUAUGAUUAAAAAUUAUCAAGCCUGAGAUGAAUCAUAUGCAUGAAAAAUCUUAUGGUGCACAGAUUUUUGUCUAGGAAAACAAGUGCACAGAUUUAUUUGGACCAAACCCAAGGAACUUAUGGUGGCAUGUACUGUAUACUUUAACUCUACUUCAAAUGUGAGUUAUGAACUCUUGAGAGUCUUGUGUAUGUUCAGCAAAUUCCCAUCCACCAGCUUUCCAAGGAAGCUCCCUUGAACUUGUCUUUUCCUGUCCUUAAAUUCCUUUCUUCUUGAAGAUCAAAUUGAACCUAUUGGUCUUAACUCUUAAGACAUUCCCUUUCCAGAUUGAUUUCAUGGAGUCUAGUUGAAAAAUCAGUCUAUGCCACAUUUGCUUUGCGUACAAGUAAAACCUUUCCCUGUCGUCUCCACUAAAGGAUUAGAUAUUUAAAGGUCCAUAUAUCUAUAUCUUAAUUUUAGUUAACAAAUCAUUCUCCUUGAUAUGCCUAUUGCUGAAUGCUGAUUCAUUAGUUCCACCCACUAAAGAUACGGUGGUCUGAGAUUUUGGUUUAGAAACCGUUAGACAUGGACUGCACACAUAAAGUUUCAAUUCCAUCCCUUUCAGUGCCAGGAAAUGUAUAAAAGAAAAAUGGAAUAUUGCUACAAUCCUUCCAUCAUAAUUGGUUGACAACUUAAUUCUUAGUUCUCUUUUAGACGUUUUCUUCCCAACCAAACAAACCCUGAGCUUAGGUUGUUCGGUAAAUUGCGGGAAGUUUGAAAAACAAGUGUACAAUGAAUGUCGAGAGUUGUAAGAGAAUUGGAGUUGAAAUAUUAAUGCUAGUUUUGUCCUUUGUUAUGAUAAUUCAGUAUGGCAUUUAAAAUUCUUUUGGGGUAGGUUUGUACCUUGAGGGAUUGCUAGAGAUAUUUAAAUAUAUAUAAUGUUUUUAAAAAUUAAUUUUUGAAAUUUGAGAUAGUAAAAUUUGUUAAUACUUCAAACUUUUUUUUUUAAAAAAAAAAAACCGAUUUUUUAAAAAUCAUUAUUUCUUAAGUCAAGUUUUAAAAAAUAUUCAAUUUUCCAAAAAAAAAAAAAAAAACUCUUAGAUGUAAAAAUUCUUUAGCAAAAUAAAAAUAAAAAUAGAAAAUUUGCCCACUCUAAAAGAAUAUAAAUUUAAUUUUAAAAUUUUUAAAAAUAAAAAAUAAUGGUGACUAAAUAUUAUUACCAAAAAAUAAUAUCUACCAUUAAUUACUAAUAAUAUAUUAAGAUUGAACUAAAGUUCAAAAAUAAAAUAAAAUCUUAUUUAAUAUUAUCCAUACUUGUUUUUUCUUGUUCAUUUGACCUUUUUCCUUUUUUAUAUUUACUUUUUGUGGUUGGUUUAACUAAAUCAUAAAAAAAAAUUAUUUAGUUUUUAUUAACUACUUAUAUUUUUACUUGUAAGUAGGGAUAUAAUGUGAAUCCAUCAAUAUCUAACCAUUAAAUUACUAGUGUUUUAACAAUUUAUUAUAUGAAAUAUAAGUUUUAAGUAAAAGACUUUACUUUCAAAUAUCUUAUAUUUAGUUAUUAAAAAAAAUUAAGGUAUUAAUUUGGUAUAUAUGAAAAUCUUAAUUUUCACUUUUGAAAGUAUAUAAAAAAAUUCAGGCUCCU
rnacentral:lncRNA from 1 species